CAGGGUUCUGUGGGGGAGAUGGGGAUCAGUGGGGCAAACGAGGCAGAGGCCUGUCCUGCACCCCACCCCAAGUACCCCACCCUUGCCAGCCCUGGUUAGGGUCUCUUGAGGCCUAGUCGUGCUCUGCUGUUCUCAGGGUCAGUAUCUAUAUGAGGGAAGGAAGCCAUUUCCUGCUCACUGCCAGAUCUGAUGGUGCAGAUCUUUGAGAGAAAGAGUCCCAUCAUGAGAGCAGGCCCGGCACAUACAUGGGACUGAGGCCUCCAUGUUCCCAAUGUAUGCCAGGCAGAAAACUGUUCUGUAAAAGAAGAAGUUCCUGGCCCUGGUCUUACAGUGAGGCAGGGAGAAGUCAGGAUCACUGCCAGGUCCGGAGACAAACACUCGCCACUGUCCUCCAGCCCUAGGAGCACACCACCCCUGGCCGUCUGGAGAGGCUUCCACAGGAAAAGCUACCCUCCUGAGAGAUAAGAUUGAAAGAAAAAGCAAACCACCAAGCCUCGUGGUGGUAUGUCUUUAGUUCUUACCCAUCUUCUUAGAGGAUGUUUAAUAUAAAUAAAUCAAUGCUAAGAGA